CCUACGGGGUGCAGCAGUGAGGAAUAUUGCUCAAUGGGGGAAACCCUGAAGCAGCAACGCCGCGUGGAGGAUGAAGGUUUUACGAUUGUAAACUCCUUUUUUGAGAGAAGAUAAUGACGGUAUCUCUCGAAUAAUCACCGGCUAACUCCGUGCCAGCAGCCGCAGUAAUACGGCGGGUGCAAGCGUUACUCGGAAUCACUGGGCGUAAAGGGUGCGCAGUCGGGCUUGUAAGUCAGAUGUGAAAUCCUGUAGCUUAACUACAGAACUGCAUUUGAAACUAUGAGUCUAGAGUGUGGGAGAGGUAGGUGGAAUUCUUGGUGUAGGGGUAAAAUCCGUAGAUAUCAAGAGGAAUACUCAUUGCGAAGGCGACCUACUGGAACAUGACUGACGCUCAUGCACGAAAGCGUGGGGAGCAAACAGGAUUAGAUACCCGAGUAGUC
rnacentral:rRNA from 1 species